AUGCUCUGCCCCAUCUUAAGUGUUUUAACCCCUGAUCACUGAUUCGAUGCCCUGCCCGAUUGAUCUUGAACCCAACAACUGAUGCCAAAGCGCUGCCUGAUAAAGGCUAUUCUUUGUAAACUAAGUUGGGGUUCUGUCUCGGGAUGUAUUGAUAAAGUUGAAUUGGGUUAUUACACUAAACACGAGUGCAUUAUAUAUUUUAUUAAAUAGCUCUGGAGUUAUACCCAAGAUUAUACCAGGAGGCUUUUAGCUGAACCCUAAAGUUACAAACUGAGUCCUUCUCUUUUUCUCACCGUUUGUAAAACAUUAUUUAAAAUGCUUUACAAAACCCUAAAUGUUUAUUAGUUAUACUUACAGUGAUUAAGUUUUUGUAUUCUGCAAUUACUAUCGGUAUGUGGGGUUUUAACUGGGUUCAAGAUUAAAGGGGUUAAGUUAAAACACAUAUAUUAUUAAUGUAUUUCUAUAAAGACUGGUUAUGAAUAUAUU
rnacentral:lncRNA from 1 species